rnacentral:rRNA from 1 species
CAACCUGCCCACCACUUGAGGAUAACCUUGCGAAAGUAAGACUAAUACCCAAUGAUAACUCUAGAAGACAUCUGAAAGAGAUUAAAGAUUUAUCGGUGAUGGAUGGGGAUGCGUCUGAUUAGCUUGUUGGCGGGGUAACGGCCCACCAAGGCAACGAUCAGUAGGGGUUCUGAGAGGAAGGUCCCCCACAUUGGAACUGAGACACGGUCCAAACUCCUACGGGAGGCAGCAGUGAGGAAUAUUGGUCAAUGGACGAGAGUCUGAACCAGCCAAGUAGCGUGCAGGAUGACGGCCCUAUGGGUUGUAGACUGCUUUUAUAAGGGAAUAAAGUGAGUCUCGUGAGACUUUUUGCAUGUACCUUAUGAAUAAGGACCGGCUAAUUCCGUGCCAGCAGCCGCGGUAAUACGGAAGGUCCGGGUGUUAUCCGGAUUUAUUGGGUUUAAAGGGAGCGUAGGCCGGAGAUUAAGCGUGUUGUGAAAUGUAGACGCUCAACGUCUGCACUGCAGCGCGAACUGGUUUCCUUGAGUACGCACAAAGUGGGCGGAAUUCGUGGUGUAGCGGUGAAAUGCUUAGAUAUCACGAAGAACUCCGAUUG